rnacentral:rRNA from 1 species
GAUGAACGCUGGCGGCGUGCCUAAUACAUGCAAGUAGAACGCUGAAGGAAGGAGCUUGCUCUUUCCGGAUGAGUUGCGAACGGGUGAGUAACGCGUAGGUAACCUGCCUGGUAGCGGGGGAUAACUAUUGGAAACGAUAGCUAAUACCGCAUAACAGUAGAUGUUGCAUGAUAUCUACUUAAAAGGUGCAAUGCACCACUACCAGAUGGACCUGCGUUGUAUUAGCUAGUUGGUGAGGUAACGGCUCACCAAGGCGACGAUACAUAGCCGACCUGAGAGGGUGAUCGGCCACACUGGGACUGAGACACGGCCCAGACUCCUACGGGAGGCAGCAGUAGGGAAUCUUCGGCAAUGGACGGAAGUCUGACCGAGCAACGCCGCGUGAGUGAAGAAGGUUUUCGAAUCGUAAAGCUCUGUUGUAAGAGAAGAACGAGUGUGAGAGUGGAAAGUUCACACUGUGACGGUAUCUUACCAGAAAGGGACGGCUAACUACGUG